rnacentral:piRNA from 1 species
GCACACAUCGUUGAAGCUUUGGAACU